GGCUUGCCAGGAGCUGGAGGGGGAGGUAGGCGGGGCGGCGCGUGACCUAAGGCCUCUCUGCCGCGCGCGCAGAGCCAAGGCACUGAUGUUUGAACUGGAAACUUCAAAACGUUUAAUAAGAGUCUUCAGGAUGGGUUUGAACUAGACAAGCUAGAAAUUUCUUUAGAACACCAGCUCUAGCAUGCAUCUCCCACUUUUGGCUUUCCUGGAGAGGAGCUUGAAGAGGUGGUUCUGCAGACAGCCACAGUGAUACUUAGGAAACCAGAGGAAUGGAUUUGACUUUUCUGCUAGGAUUCUCUGUUAUAGUUUCUCCCUGAGUUGUAAGAGGCAUGGAAAUAUACAUGAAACUGAAGAACCUGCAAGGAAGGGAAGUGGAACUUUCCAUGCUGAGUGAAAACUAACCAAGUGGCAGUUGUGACUGAAAACACUGAAACCUACCACGUCCAGAUUCACUGGAUUGGGGGAUAGAGGAACGGUCACAGCUAGGGAGAAAGAAGUGAUACCGGAAAAGAAAACCUAAAUGAAGAGAAUGAGGAUGACUGCACAGUAGAUGGCCACCUCUACCUCCACAGAGGCAAAGUCAGCCUCGUGACCCUGCUAGACCAACAGGAGUUGCUUUGUGGACAGAUUGCUGGAGUUGUCCGCUGUGUUUCUGACAUUUCUGACUCUCCUCCUACUCUUGUUCGUCUGAGAAAACUGAAGUUUGCCAUAAAAGUUGAUGGAGAUUACCUUUGGGU
rnacentral:lncRNA from 1 species